rnacentral:misc_RNA from 1 species
AACGCACCUUGCGCUCCUUGGUAUUCCGAGGAGCAUGCCUGUUUGAGUGUCAUGAAGUUCUCAACCUUUCUGUCUUUUUUUUCAAGACAGUCAGGCUUGGAUUGUGGGAGUUUGCAGGCUUCUUCGAGUCAGCUCUCCUUAAACGCAUUAGCAAAAUUGUUGCUGGUUCAUCAUUGAUAUGAUAAUUAUCUAUAUCAUUGAAAGCUGGCUUGGAUUUCGCUUCCAACCGUCCGCCAAGGGGGGACUACUUUUGACAUCUUUGACCUCAAAUCAGGUAGGACUACCCGCUGAACUUAA